AUGAGAUGCAGAGAAGAUGGAGCUCAGUGCCUGGGUGUGUAGCCUGAGCCUGUAGGUGUGGCAGCUGUUACUAUUUUAGCAGCCACAGGACUAGUGAUAGCAGAUCCUCCCUCCAGCUGGCCAGGAGGGCUGGCAUAGUCGGCUCUUCCAGAGGUGGCAACUCUGAGGCAAGUCGUCACGCGAGAGCACCGUGGGGAUGUCGUGCUCUGUGAUAGGAGGAGUCUAGGUUAACAGGAAGGAUUUCAGCAAGGAUCCAAGGCUAAGAGAAAGAGCCAAGAUCAAAUGAUACACUUCUACUACAGCCCUGCCAAGAGAUGGCCAGGAAAGAGGCUUUCUGACAGCCAAUGGCUGAGGUCGUGAGCAGGAGGCAGCAGAGGGUCCUGGAGGGAGGCAGCUGAGAGUCAGGAAAGAAGUGAGAAAUCCUGCCUGCAUGUCACAAACAUUCCGUUUCCUUCACCUCCGCCCUUUGUUGGGGCCUGCCACAUGGUUGUCCAGCCCUGCAACUUGCCCACAUGCCACUGGGAGAGACAGAGACGUUUGAACGCAAAACUGCACUGCAGCGUGACGCGUGCACUAGACAAAAACGCACGUUCAAGGUUGCACUGAAGCAUCCUGGGGCAGGACGACUUGGCUCAUCAUCCAUGUGAGGUGACUUUUGAAUGUCCGUAGUUAUUCUCAGCUGAGAUUUAGGGCGGGGCCAGUCUCCAUUUCUUCUUCCUGCAUUACCGACUUUGAAAGGCCUGCUCCUCUGACUAUUCGAUUAGUAUUUAGCAUUGAAGCCUCUAAAACAUUUUCUUCCACGGAAUAAUGUGCCCAUUCACUGAGCACAGAGUUAUUAAAGACAGCACCACUGCUUAGCUUCCAAUUCUCCCUCCUGCUAGGAGAGUGGGCACAUUAAAGAUUCCUAAGAGCUGGAAACUUUGAGGCUCUUUUUGCAGUUAAGUUGAAAAAACAACGAGGUGAAAAGCCCUGAGCACCCACCACGUGAACCAUGCUCUUGAACAUUCUGCAGAGGCUGAAUACAACCCUUUAAACAAACACCUGGCCCAGACACAGCCCAGCAAAACUGAAACGUACUGCUGUCCAACAGAGCCACCUCCACAGAGAAAAGACGUACCAAGCUGCAGAGUCCUGUGCAUCUGUUCGCGUGUCCUACACAACCCAUCUUACCAAAUGGUGGACAGUCAGAAACCCAUCCCCCAGGGCAACGGGAGCAAGAUGUGAGGGGAACCGCAUUGCCUUCUAUCAUCAGUGCAAAUGCUCGUGGAACAAAUGAGUGAAUCCUAUCCCAGGAUGUGCCUAAAGUGAGAACCAAUUUUGCCAUUCCAGAUUUGAGAUCCUUCAGUGGCUCCUGCUGGAGACAAUACAAAAUCUAGAACACAGCAUAAAGGACCUUCAUGACCUGGUUGAUGCUUAUCUGUCACUCUCUGUCCCCCUGUAGCUGCCCUCUCUCUGCUACACUCAAUGUGGUGGUCAUUACCACUAGCAACAAAUACUUCCUGGUCUCCUUUGGGACACAUAGAAGGACUGUGCUCGCCUCCCCUGCUGGCUUUAGGUGUGGCUCUGUGCCUGACACGGGCCUAUACAACGUACGCAGAAGUGAUACAUGUCAUUUUGGAGUGGAAGUUCUACACAUCAGUGUGUGACGUGUGGUUCUGUCUUUCCCUCUGCACAGCCAUGGCCAAAUUUCUAGAGAGUGGCCACUCCAUCAGCCUGAAUCCCAGAGAAAGGGUGACGUGGAACAGAUCCCCCAACCAGCCCCUGUAGGAUUUAGAUAAAGGGAAGAAAUGAACCAUUUUUAUUGUGAGUCACUGAAUUUGGGGUUGUUUGUGAUAAAAGUGUAAGCUAGCCCAUCCUGGCUAUUGCUCUCAACUUGAACUUCCCCAGGUUGGCCACGCUAUCUUAUAUCUGGGCAUUGGCACAUGCUGUUCAUUCAGGAAUGGACCAUUUACACUGUCCCCCUGCCCCCCAUGCCAGUCCUGCUUCAUCUCAAUAAUUUCUGCUCAUCUUUUAGGACCCUGGAAAGUCUGCCCCCAACCUCCCUCCUGAGACAGGGUGAAAUAUUCCUCCUCCUUGAUUCUACUUGUCUCCAUGGUUCUCCUCACCCUAGUGCUUGGCAAAUUGAGCUGUAAUUGCCUGUUGAAUGGUCAGUCUCAGCUCAUCAACUGUAGGCUCCUUGAGGGAUCGAGAUGAUUAUCAUUUCUAUGGGCAUAUUCCCAUAGGCUAGGAGGCCACCAGGUACCUGGGAUACAAAUAUAACAUAAACUUUUAUUGGAUGAAUUAAUGAGUGAAGGAAUGAAAAAUAAAUAAAUAGCAGUAGGAAUAUUCUUAUUCAUGAUUUGCAGGGCUGGGUACUGGUCAAGAAAUACUGUACUGAAUGCUUGCUGUUCUUAUCUAAUCUCACUACCUUCUGCAGUAGGUGACCUGGCCCUUGUUCAAACAGGGGAAACUGAAACUCAGAGAAAGGUAGAAAUGGACUUGAGGCCACAGAGGCAAAAGGAGACAGAGGGAGAUUCAGUCUCUGGUUUCAACACUCCCAAGCCCAACUUCCUUUCCUUGUCUACAGCCAGAAAUUGAGCCAUAUUAUCCCUUUCCCUAGUGGCUAAGGCAACAGAGACAGGACCCACUGGACAGACCAGGGAUUUGCCUGCACGGUGGCCACUGCUGCCUGAGGGAAGUGUGAGGCAGGUGUGGAAGCUACUGAGCACAGCUGGUGCCUGUGCUGCCCCGUGCCUCCCUCUUGGCCUCUGUUCAACCAUAAUGGUUUCCUAGUUUCUCCCUGUGACUUCUCUUUGGUUAUUCUAAUAGACUCAUGGAAGCCAUGAGGUGGAAGGGACGUCAGCACCAUGGAGCCCACCUUUCAUGCAACUGUAGGGAGAGUGAGGUGUCUAGCCCCUGCCUGAACCCACCUAGGGACCUGAGCUCAUACCUGUAUUUCGGAUGUGGAGAGGUGCAGUGACCCCUGGCCUGGCCCAGCCUGCCGGCUUCCACUCCUCCAGCUCCAAACCCUUCAUGCGUCUCUCCAGAAUGGAGUCUACCUUAUGUCACUCCCCUGCUCAUCAUUACUAUUACUGUCGCUGUUGUCAAGGGUAACAGAAGUAGAUGAUGAUGAUGAUGACGAUGACACCUGUCAUUUAUUGAGGAUCUGUGCACCAAGUGUGGGGCUGGAAAAUGCAGCUGGAAGCAGAGAAAAGCACAUGGAAGAGCCACUUGCAGUAGUGGUUGGAGGUCCCAAGUGGUAACACACAAAAGCGAAUAUUUGGAAAAGAAGACACAAUCGGAAGGUGCAUGAGAAUGUACAUCUGUAUCCCUGUAGAGAGUGGCUUCUGGAAGCCAGACAGAGAAGAGGCUGGGAAUGGGUCAACAGGAUGGGAAUGGCUGGGACCUGGGCGCCAUCUCCUAGAGCUUCAGAUGGACCAGAGUUUACACCAAGCCCCCUGCAUUUUAGAUGCUCAGAAAAUACUUGUCCUUGGUUGAAUGUCCAGCUACCAUCCAUUGGGGAGAGUCUAGAGAGGGUCUAGUGAAUCACUUGGACCAGGUCACCUCCCUUGCCUCACCCCCAUAGGCUGAGUUGCAUUGAACACCCAUAAAGGAUCCGAGCUCUGAAGUCAGAGACACCUGUGUUCAUGUCCCAAGUCCAGGACCUACUGGGUCUGUAACCUUGAGCAAACUCUAGAAACUCUCCGAGCAUCAAUUUCACAUUAGAAAGUGGGAUAAUACUGGUUUCUACUUCAUAAGUUACUUUUGAAAAUUAAAUAAGCUAGGAUAUGUGCAAAGGAUCAAUAGAACAUACUCAGGUUCUGCCUAUGGCUUCUUAAAACACAGUUUCUGCAGCUAAAAAAAGUCUGAAAAUCAUUGGCCUAGAUGUUUAGCCAUAGGAAAAUGGCCAAAUAAAUUAGGCUCGGCUACUUGAUGGACCAUGAUGUAGUCAUUAAAGACUAUAAUUAGAAGGACUGUGUAGCAACCUGAGAUGUGCUUAUGAUGUAUUAAGCGAAAAGUAAAAUAUACAAUGUAAUAGGAUGCAGGUGGACACAGAUGAGAAGAAAAGACGUAAAGAGAGCAAUGUCAGAGCUGAUUUCUAGUGUCAAUAUUGAAAAGGUACUUUUCGAAUUAAAAAGAUAAAUGAAACUGUCA